GUGUCAGCAGCCGCGGUAAUACCGGCAGCCCGAGUGAUGGCCGAUCUUAUUGGGCCUAAAGCGUCCGUAGCUGGCCACGCAAGUCUAUCGGGAAAUCCGCGCGCUUAACGCGCGGGCGUCCGGUGGAAACUGCGUGGCUUGGGACCGGAAGACCAGAGGGGUACGUCCGGGGUAGGAGUGAAAUCCCGUAAUCCUGGACGGACCGCCGAUGGCGAAAGCACGUCGCGAGGACGGAUCCGACAGUGAGGGACGAAAGCCAGGGUCUCGAACCGGAUUAGAAACCCUAGUAGUCC
rnacentral:rRNA from 1 species